UUCUUCAUCAUGGUGAAAUCUUCUUCACCUCCUUCGUUUCAUAAACUCAGAAACAACAGCAAGGAUAAACGACAAUAUGAUGAGAAAGGACUGCGUGUUUACAAAUGUGAGUUCUGUGACAAAGUAUUCACCACUGGCCAAACAUUCGGCGGUCACAAGACUUGUUAUCGCUCCAACAAACAACAGAUACAUGAUGAUAAGGCUCAAAAAACUAUCAAGAUCACUUUCU
rnacentral:lncRNA from 1 species